rnacentral:rRNA from 1 species
CUAGGUUCACUAGGAUUCUUAUCGGUUGGGAUUUCCAGUUAUCUUGGUAAGAAUAUUAUAUCUAUACUUCUAUCUCAAAAAAUUUUUUUUCCGCAGGGGGUCGUGAUGUCUUUCUACGGAAUCGCAGGCCUAUUCAUUAGCUUCUACUUGUGGUGUACUAUUUUGUGGAAUGUAGGUAGUGGUUAUGACCGAUUCGAUAGAAAAGAGGGAAUAGUGUGCAUUUUUCGUUGGGGAUUCCCUGGAAUAAAACGUCGCGUCUUCCUUCGAUUCCUUAUGCUUUCGUGGACUAUCUAG